rnacentral:misc_RNA from 1 species
GCAGCAGCAGCAGCAGCAACAACAGCACCAGUACAUGCAAGCAUUAAUGAACCAACAGAGGGCAAUGGGUAAUGAGAGGUUUCAACCUAUGAUGUAUGCGAGACCCCCACCAGCAGUCAAUUACAUGCCCCCAUAUCCAUUUUCAUACUCGUAUCCGCCACCACAUCCAGGUCCUGACCCGUAUACCAACUUCUUCAGCGAUGAGAACACCUCAAGUUGCAAUGUGAUGUGAAGGUUUUUGUGCAUGGAACUGGAUGCUGCUGUGGGGUUAUUGUGCUUAGCUUGUGGUGGUUCGGUUAUAGUUUGAUUUUAUUUCCUUUUUUUGGAUCUUCUCAAGGUCGAGUUUAUAGAUAAUAUAUAAAAGCUUUUAGGAGUAGAGGUGGGCUCUCUUUUAUAUAUGAUCGAUGUUUAUAUGUCGCAAAACAAAAAAUAAGAUUAGAAAUUA